rnacentral:siRNA from 1 species
GUCUGGGUGGUGUAGUCGGU